UACGUAGGGUGCAAGCGUUGUCCGGAAUUAUUGGGCGUAAAGAGCUCGUAGGCGGUCUGUCGCGUCGGCUGUGAAAUCCCGAGGCUCAACCUCGGGUCUGCAGUCGAUACGGGCAAACUAGAGUAUUGCAGGGGAGACUGGAAUUCCUGGUGUAGCGGUGAAAUGCGCAGAUAUCAGGAGGAACACCGGUGGCGAAGGCGGGUCUCUGGGCAACAACUGACGCUGAGGAGCGAAAGCGUGGGGAGCGAACCGG
rnacentral:rRNA from 1 species